CUCAGUUUUUUGGUGAAUCUACGUUGAGUGCCUCUAUUGGUUUCUUUAUUCCUCAGGGAAAGCAAGAUUCAUGGAGCCUGUAUGGACAAGGGCUGAAAGACAUGAAUUCAAACCUGGAUUCGAUCUCAGAAUCUCUCGAUUGUUUCUACAAACACUCUUCAACUUUCACAACCAAGGAGGUGAUUCACAUUAUUUGUUAUUAGUUUUGGACAGAGUUACAAUGGACUGGCCAUUGCAAGUUUUAGUUGUGCAUGGCACUUUAAUAGUUCCAGUCCCUGCAGGCUGGAAGUAGAUCAGGCUAUCAAAUCAAGUGGUUCUAUGAGGUUUGUCUUUCUCCCAAA